GACGAACGCUGGCGGCGUGCUUAACACAUGCAAGUCGAACGGAAAGGCCCUGCUUUUGUGGGGUGCUCGAGUGGCGAACGGGUGAGUAACACGUGAGUAACCUGCCCUUGACUUUGGGAUCACUUCAGGAAACUGGGGCUAAUACCGGAUAGGAGCUCCUGCUGCAUGGUGGGGGUUGGAAAGUUUCGGCGGUUGGGGAUGGACUCGCGGCUUAUCAGCUUGUUGGGGGGGUAGUGGCUUACCAAGGCUUUGACGGGUAGCCGGCCUGAGAGGGUGACCGGCCACAUUGGGACGGAGAUACGGCCCAGACUCCUACGGGAGGCAGCAGUGGGGAAUAUGGCACAAUGGGCGGAAGCCUGAUGCAGCAACGACGCGGGCGGGAUGACGGGCUUCGGGUUGUAAACCGCUUUCGCCUGUGACGAAGCGUGAGUGACGGUAAUGGGUAAAGAAGCACCGGCUAACUACGUG
rnacentral:rRNA from 1 species